AUUGGCGUUAGACAAAAACGUUAUAAUUUUCUUGAACUAUACUUGUUUAUAUCUUUUUUUAAGUUAAACAUGAAACUUAAGAUUUUUUGCAUUAUUCAGUUUAAAUUUACCUUUUCGAACCAUUUAUAGAAAGUACUAUUUACUACUUUAUAUACUAUUUAUAUGGCUUCAUUUAUUUAUUUUACUUUUCAGAGUUUCAGAGAAAAGUUAUGGUCAAACUUGCUGAAAUUAACAUUAUAAAUUAACAUUAACUGAAUAAACAUUUUAGUAAAUAAAACUGCACAGUUCUCUAAUGAUCCAGAAGGUUAUAAACAACUUAAAAGUUCAGAUGAACUUAAUGUUUUGAAAAGAAAAAUUGCAAAUGGAGAUAUCCAAUACAUCACUUAUGUGUGCAUGAAUUAUAUCUUUAUAGUUUAUAUAUUAUUACAAUAUUUCUUUUGAAUUGUCAUGAACAUUUUCAAUGUUUCUUUUGCAUUAUUUCUUUUUAGUUAAAACAGUUAUCAUUAAUUGGAGACUGACAACAGAUACUAUUUUCAGAAUGCAGCAUGAAUGGUCUAAAGAAGAAAAAAAAGUUUAAAAAGUUGACAAGUCUAUGUAUUGCUAUCACUGAUGCUGCUUCAAAGUCAAAUAAAAGCUUAACCAAAAUAGAGCUUAUUGGGAGAAUAAUUAGGCAUUCUUCUGACCGAUUCGAGAGAAAAUCCACCAAUAUCCAUAUUGAUCAAUGAUGGCUUAAUUAACUUCAAUCAACUGUUGUGUUUUUUGUUUAUUUUGCAUUUUUCAGUAAUUUUCUUUUUACUUAUAAUAUACUAUCGAUUAUACUCUACAAAAAAUAUUAGUUUUUAAUUUGGAAAGUGUAACUUUGUUUGAAUAAUUUUU